ACCACUGCUCUGGAUGGACUGAAUUCACUUAUUCAUUUAACAAAUACGUAAGGACGGCUGCCAUCAGCAAGACAUUGUUGGCGACAUAGCAGAUAAGGAAAUAAACAGCCUCUGCUCUCCUAGGUUUAGAAAGCUGACUCAGAAUCUUCAGGGGAGGGGCCUAGGAGUCUGAAGUUUCUAAAAGCCGACCCGCCAAGACUGAGACUCAGGGAGCAGCAGAAAGAGAAGAGUCAGGCAGCUGUUUGAGUCUUGGUUUCUCUUAUUGGCUGCUUGAGCUUGGUGUCAAGUCUAAGAGGUCUUUGCCAAGCCCUACUUUCCGAAGAUAUUCUCCACACACACUGAAAGUCAAGGGAGCAGGAAGCCCAGAACCUGAAGACUGUCACAUCAGUGAGUCAGCUGCAAGAGCUUCCAGGCCUAGCGCUGCCAUGGUUGAAAAAGGUGCAUAAACCAGAUCUACCAGUGAGACUAUGACUGCACAAACAACAUACUCUCAGGGAUCAUCUUCACAGGGUUUCUAAGGAUCACUGCAAGGGGGGAACCUCCGGAAGGUAGAAGAGUAACUUAAGUUUUCUACGCUACUGCAGACAGCUACACCAGGAUCCUAAGGCUUCAUUUGCAGAGUUUAGUGAAGGGUCAAGAAAGAUGAUUCAGGAGCAUAUCCUUCAAGAGUCUCAGUGCCACAGACUGAGCCCAGUGACUUUAAUAUGGGUGUGGUGAGCUGACCUCAGAGUCUAUUCUCAUGGUGAAUCUGGGCCUUUUUCAAAAGAGGACAUUUGUUCUGCUGUUCUUUGCAAGUGGAGACACCUUCCUCAUCUUUAUAUUCUCAGGGCCCAGUUAUUGUUCAUGCACAGUAAGUGGCUGCUGGUACAUAAUGAUCAUGAGACAAAAAGCAGUUUGAGAAUUAAGAUAUAGUCUCUGUUCAUAAGUCUCUUAUUCAGAUAUUCACUAGCUCAUAACUUUGAAAAAACUUUGAAACUGUAAAGAACAUGCUUCUGGAUCUUUAACCUCUGUGAUUUAUUUCCCUCAUCUCUGAGUAACUCAAUGGAUUGGUGUAACAGUUAAAAGACCCAGUAAUAGGAAAGCUCAGGCUGGUUCCAGUACUUUUUUGAGGCUUGUCUUUACCAUGGCUGAUCCACCUCAUAGGUGCGUUUGGAGAUGCAAAACAGAAAGUUGUGAAAACUGCUGUAUAAUAAUUAAAAUGGAAAUCCUCACCAGGGCAAAUAUUAAGGAUAAACCCCUAAAAUUACUGUGAAAGUAAACACCGUGAAAAGUAUGCUUAUUUUGCUCCCAGUGAAAAGAAUUUAUCUGGCAUAAUACUGGGUUAACUGACCCCAAUAUUUUUAAGUAAAUGAGAUACUCUUAGAGUUGCCUUAUUCUGUCUUGUGUUAUCUUUACAUUUUUUUCCAGUUUUAUUGAGACAUAAUUGACAUACAUCAGUACAUAAGUUUAAGGCAUACUGCAUGAUGGUUUGAUUUGAACAUAUUGUGAAAUGAUUGUUGUCGUUACUUUUGACUGGGGAAAAGCUGAGGCAUCUUUUCCAAGUAUGACUUUGAGGCCCAGUUUCCUUUAAGUAUCAAGUCUAAAAAACUCUAAGUAAAUAUAUCUGUAUUCUAUUUAAUUUCCAGUCUGUUCACUUAUUUCGUUGUUAUAACCUGGUAAGCUGUUUGUGUUUACUUGUUUUGGUUUGGCUUUCUUUGAACUACAGAAAAGGCUACUCCCAGUACAAACACACACUGCAAUUUAAAAUCCCUUACGGUUUGGAGGGCCUGUACACUUGCUUCAUUAAGCACUCUUGUGCUCCCUCUGCUGCCAUGAAGGAAACCUUCACGUUCAAGACCCCAGCACACUGCUCACUGAGUGUUCUCUUGGCUGUGAUGAUGCAGAUUUGUGUGUAACUUGAGGCUCUUUGGAAAUGCAGUACUAUUUGACAUUAAAAUGUAAUAACUUUUCAUCAAAAAGUGCAGAUUAAUAAAAGGGGGAGGGAAUAAAAGAGGAAUAAAUGUUAAGAAUUUGUGGCCAAAUUCAUCCAGACAGAGCCCUAGGGCAGACAAGUGUUCUUCACACUACAAUGUGCUUAGGAAUCACUGGAGGGUUAGUUAAAAGACAGGGUCUGAUUCAGUAGGUCUGGGGUGCAGCGCCUAUUCUGAAUUGUCUGAAAAGCUCCCAGAUGCUGCUGCUGUCACACUGAAGACUCAGCUUUCAGAAGCAAGAUGUAGUAGAUAAUUAUAUAUUUUGUUUACUUGAUAGCCCAUUUUAAA